rfam:Blastopirellula marina DSM 3645 scf_1099463000751 genomic scaffold, whole genome shotgun sequence.
GCCGGCGUAGCUCAAUUGGCAGAGCGCAGCAUUCGUAAUGCUGAGGUUGUGGGUUCAACUCCCACCGCUGGCU